UAAAGAAAACAAUAAGAACAAAACAAUAUUUUGCACCAGCCGGGAAUUGAACCCGGGUCUGUACCGUGGCAGGGUACUAUUCUACCACUAGACCACUGGUGCUCGUUGAGACGUAAACAAGUUAAAUUAUUUCAGCCAUUCAAAAGUUUCUUCCACUACUGCAAGCAACCGUAUCGUAAAUUUCAACUCUAUCAACCAUCACUGAAGUUUCUUCCAUUCAAGUUUCUUCAAGGUUGUCGGUUUAUUCCAUCAAAGUUGCUAGAAAAAGAACAAGAACGUUCGACUGUCGUAGUGGUGGUAACAGCAACAGGAAAAUGUCUAUCGUAGAUACUGAUGAAAUUUUUAGACAGCUCAGGUUUGCAAGAUAUGGAGAAGGACAGUUCUCCCAAUUUAAAAACGGGAGGGAUCCACACUUAUGGCAGAAGUUGCUAGAUAUUUUGAUUUAUAGGCGUUCUUUUUCUAUAAAUUUGGAGACAUUAGUUUCGGUUGUCUCCGAUUACGCCAAAAAAUAUGAUAAAGACAAAAGUGUGAGAUGGCUUGAGGACAGUGUCUUAAGAAAAGAUGUUAUUGCAGUGUUCAAAUCGGAGCACUUGGUUGACCAAAAGGGCUGCCUAUCUUCUGAGGAUCUCUAAAUAAUAAUGCAGAAAAUGAAUGUAGUUCAUGAAGAAGUUGAUGAAAGCAGUAGUAAUGUCUAAGAGAUUAAGAGAAUCAUCAUCAUCAGCUGGCAGGAGACUAAUUGACAAUAGACUAAUAUGCAAGGAAAAUUUUAAAAGUAUAGGGAUUUUCAGAGAAGGAUAAUGAGAAUAUUUUUGAACAAAUCGCUUUUCUUCGCAAUAUGAAUCGUCUGACUAUUCGGCAAGUGAGGGAUGCUAACGACCAUUUUACGGGAGAAAAUGAUCAUAGGCAUUUAUCAAGAAUUAAAAUGUGGUUAUCAUUGUCAUCGGAUGACCAGGUUCAAUAUAUUGCAACUCUCUCCAGCAUGAACAGAGGAGUUAUCAUUAACAGAGGAGUUAGCAUGAACAAAGGAGUAUGAAGACGAGAAUGAUGUUGUUUCAUGUUUCCCUUAGUCAUCCGAUAAGGAUGCAAUUAUAUAAUUUUUGUUUUGGGGGGUGCGGCUUUGUCCCCCCUUUUGCUAUGACUGUGAACUUCGCCCUCUGGGCUUUUCUAUUUUGAUUUGCCCUUCGAGGCUUUAUGAA